rnacentral:misc_RNA from 1 species
AGAGAGAGAGAGAGAGAGAAUUUGCAAUAACUUUUGUAGUAUUUUUAUUAAUGAAACACUUUUGUAGUAUUUUUUAAUGAAACAUAUCAAAUAAGCAUUCGCAUAGCAGAUGUGAAUUCAGCACAGAGGUCCCAAAAAUUUAUGCAUGUUAUGGCACCUAAAGCAUAACUAGGUCACACAAUCAAGAGAAAGGCAAUUGUGAAUAUGUCAGCAUGUCAUUAUAAAUCACAACACCUCAGAUUCCACAGCUUAUUUAAAUCCAAUUAAUUGCAUGAACAUCACCACAACUUACAUAGAAUAAUUAAAAACCAUUUUGAGUUACUUUCAUAUCAUUAAUGAAGCACUUUCUAUAAGAAUUGAAGCAACUAAAAUGUUUGUGAGAUUCACAGAUGUUCAAACUUAAAAUUGAAUUUCAGUAUUAUAACUAAACUUCAAUUUAUUGUGAACAAACAUAUAUAACAGUUAAAUUUUCAUUUCAAUAAGCUCACUAUGGUUAUAUAUUCUAGUCAAAAGUCACUGAAAUGCACCAAUGGUCCUAAUUAAGUGUUUAGAGAGAGAGAGGAAGAGAAAGAGAGAGAGAAGGAGAGGGCGAGAGAAGCAGAGGGGGAAAAAAAGAACCU